CUGGGCAACUUUUGCACGAAGUUUCAGAUGCUAGUUGUCUUGCAUAAUUAAUAGGAGUGGAUCGGGAUAGAUCUACACCAAUAUUUGUCUGGGAGGGUUGUGCUUGAUCCAAGGAUGAAGAGCUUGACACAGAAACUACAUCACUGCAUUUUCCAGAGAAUGCAUCUGUAAACCUUUGGGGGGCCUUCUGGCUCUGACAUUAGGUUUACAGAUGCAUU
rnacentral:misc_RNA from 1 species